CACCAACUAAUUCUGGGAGCCUACCAUUGGUGGAGAGCCUGCACGUGAUGUAGCCACCGCCUUCUCGCGAGACCGUCUCCCAACACGUGACUAUGGCGUGCGCACAUCCGGGCUACGGCCCUGGGCGUCCCCGGCCCCAAGAUGGCUGCCUUUUGGCGUCUCCAGCGCUGUUGAAUGGAGAAAGCUUUAUUGUUCCCUUCGGGCAGGAGUGUUCGUGUUCUCUAUGGCGCUGUCAAUAAAGAACGGCAGUUUGAAUCGACAGAAACUCAAGUAUCCUAGAGUCACUUCAAACUGUGUGUCCAAGGACAACUUUAAACUUCGGAUCCUCCUCCCUCUACGUCUUGAGUUCCGGGUUUACGAUUAUUGGGCAUGAUGGUGCAUGCUCACACUUUCGAAUCUGAGACAGAACGAUCAGGAGUUGGAGGCAGCCCAGUCUACAGGAAA
rnacentral:lncRNA from 1 species